rnacentral:rRNA from 1 species
CCUACGGGGGGCAGCAGCCGAGAAUAUUCGACAAUGGGCGCAAGCCUGAUCGAGCGAUACCGCGUGGUGGAUGAAGCGCUUCGGCGCGUAAACACCUUUUAUGAGGGAGGAAGUUAUUGACGUUACCUCAUGAAUAAGGGGCUCCUAACUCUGUGCCAGCAGGAGCGGUAAUACAGAGGCCCCGAGCAUUACCCGGAAUUACUGGGCGUAAAGGGUGCGUAGGUGGUCAUAUUAGUCGUCCGUUAAAUGUCAGGGCUCAACCCUGAAAUCGCGGGCGAAACGGUAUGACUUGAGAGCGUGAGAGGUACAUGGAACUCUAAGUGUAGGGGUGAAAUCCGUUGAUAUUUAGGGGAACACCGAAAGCGAAGGCAAUGUACUGGCGCGUUUCUGACACUCAAGCACGAAAGCGUGGGUAGCGAACGGGAUUAGAUACCCCUGUAGUC